GAUUAGAUACCCUAGUAUUAUAAAAUUAAUAUAGAUUAGUAUAUUAUGAAAAUUAAUAAUUUUGGCGGUUAAUUAGUUUUAGAGGAGCUUGUAAAUUAAUAGAAUUAACUCAAUAAAUUUUAUUGAUAUAAAAUUUAUUCAUUUCCGUUAUUAAAUUAAAAUUGUUAAUUAAGAUUAAUUUUUAAAUAUUUCAGGUCAAGAUGUAGUAUAUAUUAGAAACUUAUUAGCUACAUUAAUUAUAAUUUAUUGGAUUACGUUAAUGAAAAAGUUAAGAAAUUGAAUUUAGAUGUAAUAAUAUCUAGAAAGUUAUUGUGAAUUUAUAUAAAUUAAUGUACAUAUUGCCCGUCACUUCUAUAUAAUAUAGAAUAAGUCGUAACAAA
rnacentral:rRNA from 1 species